GACUUUAGUCCACGAGCCUGAGGCUGGAUCGCCGGGAUACAGCCGCCGGCGCCGGCGCAUGCGCCCUCCGAGGCCGACGCGGCCGGCGGAUACUACCAGGCGUGUGCCGCGAGGGUUGGUAGGAGCGUCCCACCUUACCAGGACUGGAGGGACACGGACAACGAGACGGGAUGGAGUUUCCAUGCAGCCUGGACUGCUGACUUGACUACCUGACUCUGACUGCCUGGAAUAAUGAGAGCCUCUCUGCCCAUGUUAUGAUGGUCUUCACUGUGUUUCCUCCUAUGUUUCAAUCAUCUUUGUGUCUGUGCUGCUGAGGCCUGUCUCACCUCCCAGGGAGAAGCCACUCAGGAAACUGGAUCCCUGUCUGCAUUCCUCCACCGGGAUGGAAAAACAGAACUGAAGAGGAAGGAAGGAAGGAAGCGUGAAGAAACAGAAGGUUUCCCUCCUGGCUGAGGUUUAUCAGCACCACCCACCAACACAAGCAA